AAACCAGCACCUCAAGUGGUCAGGAUGAUUAUUGGGCCUAAAGCAUCCGUAGCCGGCUCUGUAAGUUUUCGGUUAAAUCUGUACGCUCAACGUACAGGCUGUCGGGAAUACUGCAGAGCUAGGGAGAGGGAGAGGUAGACGGUACUCGGGAGGAAGUGGUAAAAUGCUUUGAUCUCUCGAUGACCACCUGUGGCGAAGGCGGUCUACCAGAACACGUCCGACGGUGAGGGAUGAAAGCUGGGGGAGCAAACCGGAUUAGAAACCCCAGUAGUCC
rnacentral:rRNA from 1 species